GGUUCCGUAGUGUAGUGGUUAUCAUGUUUGCUUCACACGCGGAGGGAGUACGGUUCGAUCCUGGACGGAACCG